rnacentral:lncRNA from 1 species
GCACGGCUGUGGCACCUGCUUCCCUCUUACUCAGACUUCAACUGUUCCCUCUGCUCAAACUUGUGGCUGUCGUGUSCUUGGGAGCAGUGCCCACCGCAGGGGCGAAGUCAGGAACUGGAAGGUGUUUCAGGUAAGCAUCCGCUAAUGAUGCUAUUAGCUCUURUCCUGCCGUAACUCAUGGUUAUGGUCUUUGUUUGUAAAACAUGAGACAAAGACCAGGAUGAAAGAGACAUCAAAGCGUAACAGAAGGGAAAAGUGUGGAUUGAUGCCUUUACUAGGUAGCUCACCAAACACACUGAAGUCCUCCAGACAGAUGACAUUGAGGAGGGAAGGAUAAUGRGAGGAAAAAUGAGAAGCAAGAGGUGAGGAUUAUCACAUCCUCUGGAAUCASUGUAGCCACGAGACUUUGCAACCAGUGUGCUCAGCCUUGCACGUGGGCCUUCCAGAGCUGGUGAGAAGUUCUGAGUGGAGCCACAGGCUUGGCUGUCUUUCCAGCCUGCGGGGUCAACAGUCGGAGACUGCGGAAGGUGAGAGGCAGCAGAGGAGGAAACACAGUAGCGAUAGUGUCUGGAUCAGCAUCACAAAAGAGGAGGGACCAGAUGAGGACACCAGUGGUCUGAAAUCAAGCCAGCCUGGGACGCCCUGAUGGCGCUUGGGCAGCACCGCACGCCGGUGGUUGCAUCCGCCUCCCUCGCACACCCAGAGAGGACCCAAGGAGUCCCCGUAAUGUUUCUGGGCCCCGGGUGGUUGCAGUACGCCAACCUCGGGCACGCCAGUCUCAAGACCCAGCUGUACCUUCUUUGCACAACCCGCUGCUGUUUCAUUUAUGAAUUGGAGGUGCUCUGAUAAACACACUGAAAGGUCAGCUAUUUUCACUGUGGCUUGCAUAAGAACCUCAACAUCCUCUGCUGCAAGAGCCGUGUUAGUAACUUCCUACUGCAGCACUGAAUCACAAUAGCUUCCCACAAUAACCCGCAGUAAAAAUAAACCGGGUAAGGGGAAGUGGACGGCUUCGGUU